CACGUGUAUCGGAAAUGCGAUGGUGUCGGUCGGCUUAAAACGACCCUCCGUGCUCCGGUGUUCCUUAAUGCGACUGGAGCGGGUUCCACUUCUAGGCCUGGUGGUCGUCUUUUUUUCUUUUUUUGGUUUGAGCGGUAGCCUGCGUCUUCUUACUAUUCUCCUCCGACUCUCCCUUCCUUCCUCCCUUCCCGGCCGCGGGAACCCUAGACUGGAAUGAUCGCGGCGAAGUCCGCUGAAGUCCCUAGGAACACUUCCUCCGCCGCCGCGGCGUCGGCGAAGGCUAUGCUGCCCCCCGUGGAUACCCCACCGGCGGAGGAUAUCGUGGACUCCCGAGUUCACACCUUCUGCGCGAUCCUCUCCCGCGUGUCCCUGGGCGAGGUGGAGGCCGUCCUCACGGCCUCCGGCAUCGCCCCCCUCCCCGAGCUCGUGGAGGCCGUCCUCCGCCGUUCCUACUCCAACGCCGGCGCCGCCAUCAAGUUCUUCCGGUGGUCCGGCCUCUCCCUCCGCCACUCUUCCUACGCUUGGAACCUCAUGGUCGACAUCCUUGGCAAGAACGGCCUUUUCGACGCCAUGUGGGACGCCAUCCGCUCCAUGAAGCAGGAGGGCGCCCUCUCCCUCGCCACCUUCGCGUCCGCAUUCUCCGCCUACUGCUCCGCAGGCCGCAUCAAGGAGGCCGUCAUGACCUUCGAUGUCAUGGACCGCUAUGCCGUCCCCCCCGACAUCGUUGCCGUCAAUUCCGUCAUCUCCGCCAUCUGCCGCCAAGACGGCCGCACCGCCGACGCCGCCGACUUCCUCGACCGCGUCAAGUCUCGCAUAGCCCCCGACGCCGACUCCUUCGCCAUCCUCCUCGAGGGCUGGGAGAAGGAGGGCAACGUCGCCCGCGCCAAGAGCACUUUCGGCGAGAUGGUCGUCCGCGUCGGCUGGAACACCGGUAACAUGUCGGCCUACGACGCAUUCCUGGCCACCCUCGUCCGCGGCGCACAGGCCGAGGAGGCCGUCAAGUUCCUCAAGGUCAUGAAGGCCAAAAACUGCCUCCCCAGCCUCAAGUUUUUCGCCAACGCCCUUGACAUCCUCAUCAAACAGAAUAACCACGCCAGCGCCCUCGCCCUCUGGGACAUCAUGGUCGGUGACAGCGGCCUUGUUCCCAACCUCUCCAUGUACAACGCCAUGAUCGCCCUCCUUGCUAACAAUGGCGACAUCAACUCCGCCUACCGGUUGCUUGACGAUAUGCCCUUCCUUGGUGUCUUCCCCGAUUCUCUCACCUACAACACUAUUUUUGAGUCUUUGAUCAGGAAUAAGAUGGCCCAUGAGGCCGAGAGGUUCCUCGCCGAGAUGAGGAAGAACGAGCAGCUGCCGUCGCUGACCAACUGCGCUGCCGCCAUCAAGAUGUUUUUUGACAAGUACGACCCGUCUGCUGCAAUCGAGGUGUGGAACUGCAUGGUGGAGGAAUGCACGCAACUGGACGAGGAGUGUGCCGAUGAGCUGCUCGUCGGGCUAAGGGACUUGGGCAGGUUGAGUGAGGUGAGAAGGCAUGCUGAGGAUAUGAUUGACAGGGGGAUUGUGCUGCGCUCGUCCACAAUGGAGGGACUGAAGAGUGCCUUCUACAAGGCAGGAAAGGAGGAUGCCUAUGAUCGCAUUUCAAGGAGGAUGAAGCAGCAGUAGGGCUGUGACAGUUGAAUCGAAGCAUGGUGGAUGGUCGCUUUAGGAUCUGGUCUGGAAGAGGAAGGAAACUGUAUUUGCCGUUAGCGUUCUUCUUUGUAGAUGGAGGAUAUCGAUCAUGUGCUCAACAAGAAGAUUCAGUUUCCACGCAUUGUUGAAGUCCGACAUUUAUUACUACUGUCGACAACUGGAGUUUCUCUCUGUACCAGAAGUCCCACAUCCUGCAAAGGGCGAUCAAGUUAGUUGGCUCUUGUAUUGGUUGCAAGGGCUCUAUUAGCUCGUCAGGUUGCAGUUUAUGAAAUGUGCAAUGAAAAAAAGACCAGUUAUCGUUAUGCGAGGAGCACACGUCUGCAAAAAUGUGUCGUACCAUAUUAACAGACAUGAGAAUUUUAGCACCAGAGAAGAGGAGUAACAAAGGAUGCAAAAUUCUGGAUGCGGUUCUUUUCAGCAAUACAAUUAAUUCUUUUUUGCCUUUUUUAAGGUUAGGCUGUGCGAUUUCUUUACGAGAAUUGAGGGGAUCCCGAUUUGUCUUUCAGGCCCUUGACCCAUUCCAUCCAGAUCUUGUAUCAGUAGAACUGCGGAUAGCUGAAGAUCACUUUAGUUUUGACGUCGGCAUGAUUGUGUUGACAUCCUCUGCUCUA